GUUUACACUAUAACAGAGUGGUUUGACGUAGUGUACUAACUACGAAAUUAUAUUGUGUUUACACUAUAACGGAGUGGUUCGACGUAGCGUACUAAUUAUGAAAUUAUAUUGUGUUUACACUAUAACGGAGUGGUUUGACGUAGCGUACUAACUACGAAAUUAUAUUGUGUUUACACUAUAACAGAGUGGUUUGACGUAGCGUA